GACGAACGCUGGCGGCGUGCUUAACACAUGCAAGUCGAACGGAAAGGCCCCUUUGGGGGUACUCGAGUGGCGCACGGGUGAGUAACACGUGAGUAACCUGCCCUUGACUUCGGGAUAACUUCAGGAAACUGGGGCUAAUACCGGAUAGGAAUCCUUGCUGCAUGGUGGGGGUUGGAAAGCUUCGGCGGUUUUGGAUGGACUCGCGGCUUAUCAGCUUGUUGGUGGGGUAGUGGCUUACCAAGGCUUUGACGGGUAGCCGGCCUGAGAGGGCGACCGGCCACAUUGGGACUGAGAUACGGCCCAGACUCCUACGGGAGGCAGCAGGGGGGAAUAUUGCACAAUGGGCGGAAGCCUGAUGCAGCAACGCCGCGUGCGGGAUGACGGCCUUCGGGUUGUAAACCGCUUUCAGCAGGGGCGAAGCUUGUGGUGACGGUACCUGCAGAAGAAGCACCGGCUAACUACGUG
rnacentral:rRNA from 1 species